CUCACACUCUCCAACGCUUCCGCCAUCAAGCCUCGCCCCCACAUUGCUUUAAUGUGUAAUCAGUCUCCUCCAGCGUCCAGAGUGUCUGUUUCUUCAGCUCCAUGUGUUUGUGAAGACAGGCAGUUUAACGGCGAAAAGAUGAGGCUUUUUCUGCAAACCAUGAUAACAUGUCUGCUGCUGAGGUCAAUGUCAUGCACAACAUCAGCUCCAACAAUGUCCUUCACGGGAAUAUCUCACAUCUCUACAACAUCACAAUCUCCACCCAGCCAUGAUCCAACUACUACAGAAAAUUCAACUUUGUAUUCUACAUCUUUCACAUCGUCAAAAACUGGAACCGCCCAAACCAGCACCAACCAGGCCACUGAGAGCUCUGUUGAGACUCAAACUGCCAGCACAGUUCACAGUCCAACCACCUCCAUCACCGUCACCAACAUGUCUAGUACAGUCCACACCCCCAUCAACAGCACCAUGUCCAGUAUGGGCCCCAAUAUCAGCAGCAGCACCACCAUGUCCAGUAUGGGCCCCAAUAUCAGCAGCCGCACCACCAUGUCCAGUAUGGGCCCCAAUAUCAGCAGCAGCAGUAUCGGCAUCUCUCUGAAGACAAGUGGCUCCACCAGCACCACCAAAACCACUUCUGACACCACCACAGUGACAAAGAAGGAACACAAGCCUGAAGGUCUGAGAUCAAGUUCAAUCACAGUCAUCACUAUUGCAGUGAUCCUACUGGUUGUCAUUAUCCUGGGAGGGCUGUAUUAUUACAAGAUCAGGUCAGUUAAGAACUAGAUUCAAGUUUCCUACAUUAAAGUUGGGAAAAAAAAGUUCCUGUUUUAAAGACUCACUACGAUGUAACUGGUGUUUUUGGUGUCUGUAACCCUUUCUUGUGACUUUCAUGAUGGAGGACAUAGAUAAAGCACAUUUAGCUUAAAAUGUGCAUUUCUGAAUGUCUUUAUUCAUCAUUAAACAUCAGAGCAGACAAAAAAUCUGUUUUAAGAGAUCAUACUUGUAACAUACAAUCAUGCUUGGUUGCUCCCCUUCAUUCUGAUGCAUCCACUUGCGGACAAGUAGAUCC
rnacentral:lncRNA from 1 species